GAUCUGUCUGGUUAAUUCCGAUAACGAACGAGACUCUCCCCUGCUAAGUUGGAUCUUGAUUCGCGAGUAAUGCGCCCCGUUGCGGUGUCUGCGCGUUCAACUCUUUCUCGGGUAGUUCCUUCGCUUUGAUUCGUUGUGCUCUCUGGGCGCGCGCGUCGGCGAGGAGUUAUUUCCGGGAAGAGCGCGCGUGGGCCCUUUCGGGUAGUGCACACUCCAAGUCCGCCGAAGUCUUCUUAGAGGGAUACACGGUUCUGAAGCCGUUAGAGACAGAGAGCAAUAACAGGUCUGUGAUGCCCUUAGAUGCUCUGGGCCGCACGCGCGCUACAAUGCGGGCACAGCAGGUGUUUUCCCUUCUCCGAGAGGAGCGGGCAACCCUCUGAAAGCCCUUGGCGUGCUUGGGCCUGGAGCUUGCAAUUGUUCUCCACAAACGAGGAAUGCCUAGUAGCGGUGGGUCACUGAGCCCGCCGUGACUCAGUCCCUGCCCUUUGUACACACCGCCCGUCGCUACUACCGAUUGGGUGUACCAGUGAGAACCUUGGACUGGCGGCCGUUGCUCUUCGGGCAAACGGAUUUCGACUGAAAGAGGUUCGAAGCUGGUGCACUUAGAGGAAGUAACAAAGUCAUGACA
rnacentral:rRNA from 1 species